GACGAACGCUGGCGGCGUGCUUAACACAUGCAAGUCGAGCGGUAAGGCCCUUUCGGGGGUACACGAGCGGCGAACGGGUGAGUAACACGUGGGUGACCUGCCCUUAGCUCUGGGAUAAGCCUGGGAAACUGGGUCUAAUACCGGAUAUGACCCCAUAACGCAUGUUGUGGGGUGGAAAGCCUUGUGCGGCUAGGGAUGGCCCGCGGCCUAUCAGCUUGUUGGUGGGGUGAUGGCCUACCAAGGCGACGACGGGUAGCCGGCCUGAGAGGGCGACCGGCCACACUGGGACUGAGACACGGCCCAGACUCCUACGGGAGGCAGCAGUGGGGAAUCUUGCGCAAUGGGCGAAAGCCUGACGCUGCGACGCCGCGUGGGGAUGACGGCCUCGGU
rnacentral:rRNA from 1 species